CUUAUGUUCCCUCAGGUCCGCACUUUGUGGCUGUCAAUAACAAGAAUGAGAUUGUGGUCACAGACUUCCAUAAUCACUCAGUCAAGGUUUACAGCGCAGAUGGUGAGUUCCUCUUUAAGUUUGGUUCUCAUGGAGAAGGGAACGGUCAGUUUAAUGCUCCAACCGGAAUUGCUGUUGAUUCCAAUGGGAAUAUUAUUGUGGCCGACUGGGGCAACAGUCGGAUACAGGUAUUUGACAGCUCUGGAUCCUUCCUGUCCUACAUAAACACCAUGGCAGAUCCUCUAUAUGGGCCUCAGGGACUUUCCCUCACAUCUGACGGGCAUGUGGUGGUGGCAGACUCUGGCAACCACUGUUUCAAGGUAUACCGGUAUUUACAGUGACCUUGACACCACAGGGAGGGCUAAGCCAGUGUUCAUCCUGCUUCUCUGUGCCAGUAAAUCAAGUACCCUUCUGCAAGCAAUACUCAUUUUUGUGCACAGACUCAAGUGAUGUUUUCUUGUCCUCUUCAAGCUGCUGGGUUCAUUCUUCAGAUAUAGUAUGAACUUCACACAGCUGCCAGGGGCACAGUGUUUGUAGCUCUCUGUUGCAUACUUUGCGCAAUGCCUUCUGAACUAUGCCAAACCAUUCAUCUGAGCAAAUACGUGUAUCUCUGACAGGAUGGGAGUAACACUACUUGACUGCUAAGAGUCUGCUGAGAAUCCACUGAAUUUAGACUAUUUUGAUGGGAAAAGAAUCGUUGAAAAGAGUUGUACCUCUCACAAGUCUGUCGUCUGAAUGUCUCCAGGUGCCAGUAGCAACUUAAUGGAGUUUCCACAUUUGUGCCAUGAAACCAUGGGUCUUACUGCUUCUCUUGUCUGCUGCUGAACGGAUGACUGAGCUGUUUGUCCUGCUUGUUGCUAAUGAUGUGCGUCAGACUUAGGAAGCUCUCCGCUACCAGCGUGUAAGGAUGAGGUCCAAGCACAGCUUCUCCUUUACCACGCUCUGGCUUUUCUAGGCACAUGGAUUAUAUGUAAGGAUUAACCAACUUUAAUGGUGGUGAUUCUACGAUUGGCCAGAUAGUGACACAGUUGGUUGCACUAAUAUACUUGCACUUUCCUUCUGGCUGCUCCAUCAUGGGUCAGAUCACAUAAUCUGUAGAGGACCUUGCCUCUAGAUAGACUCUGACAGGGUAUUGCUACUGGAGGUUGGGGCCUUGUGGUAGUGUUAACAGGUGAUCAUGUUCUCUCCCUCACUCCAGUAAUAAAUGCACCACAACCGGAGCUCUCCCUAGUUUGCAAUGCUGUGUUAAGGAAAGUUGCUUUGUCUAUUACAGCUUUCUGUUCAUGUAGAGCUAUGGGAUAGUGGUUACAUCAAAGGUUAAUGAGAUAGUUGUGUUGCCUGGAGCAUUAGAGAAUCUACUAAUUCCACUGGAGUGAAUGAGGUUUACUAUGAACAGGAGGGAGGCUCUGCUAAUUUAUAUGUGAGCCAUGAGAUUUGUGUGUGGGACAUGGCUGAGGAUCUGCUGAGUUGUUAUUAUUGAAUUUUGACUUGAGUGAUGGUUUGUUGCAAGUAGGAGAUGAUCGAGUUAUGUGAGGGAUGUUAGUCAGGCUCUGCUGAGUUGGGUGUAAAAGCUGAUCAUGGUCUACUGAGUUAUAUGUGAGAAAUGAACAAGGUUCUGUUGAGUGUCAUGUGAGAUGUGAGUGGCGUUCUGCUGAAAUGCAUGACAUAUAAGUGAAUGUCUGCUGAAUUGCAUGUGAAAGGUGAUCAAUAUUCUGAUGAGUUGUUUGUGGCAGAUGAGUGAGGUUCUACUACGUAUAAUAAUGGUCUGCUGAAUUGGGAGUAGGACAUUUUUGUGGAUAUACUGAGUUGCCUGUGAGACCUUAUCCUUAUUGAGGAUCUGCCUAGUUGUGUGUGGGACUUUAGAAUCUGUUGAGUUUCCUCAAUCUACUGUGUUAAUGAGGAACAGGUUGCAUGUAGGACAUUAAUGAGUAUCUGCUUAGUUGCUUGUAGGAGAUGUCUGAGGAUCUGCUGAGAUGUGAGUGGGACAUUAGUGAGUAUCUGCUUAGUUGCUUGUAGGCGAUGAUUGAGGAUCUGCUGAGAUGUGCGUGAGGACCUGCUUAGUUGUGUAUAGAAAAUUAUUGUGGAUCUGCAGAGAUGUGAGCGAGGACAUAAGUGAGGAUCUGCUUAGUUACUUGUAGGAGAUGACUGAGGAUCUGCUGAGAUGUGCGUGAGGACAUAAGUGAGGAUCUGCUUAUUUGUUUAUAGGCGAUGAUUGAGGAUCUGCUGAGAUGUGAGCGAGGACAUAAGUGAGGAUCUGCUUAGUUACUUGUAGGAGAUGAUUGAGGAUCUGCUGAGAUGUGAGUGAGACAUUAGUGAGGAUCUGCUGAGUUGUGUAUAGAAAAUGAUUAUGUAUCUGCAGAGAUGUGAGUGGGACAUAAAUGAGGAUCUGCUGAGUUGUGUGUUGGAGAUGAUUGAGGAUCGGCUGGGAUGUGAUUGGGACAUUAGUGAGGAUCCGCUUAGUUGUGUGUAGGAGAUGAUUGAGGAUCUGCUGAGAUAUGAGUGGGACAUUAGUGAAGAUCUGUGUGUGGGUUAUAUGCAGUAAGUGAGUAUGUGGGGUAGUAAAACUUGAAAAUUGCAGGUAGAACAGCAGAUUUGCUGAAGGGAAAUAGCUCCUGAAUGUAACCUGGGUUAAAGGGAGAGGACACAGAGCACACUGGAGGCUGCACUUUACUGUAUUUCUUCAGUUUUGUUUAUUUUAUCAUAACUAUCCUGUUAACCAUUUUUCACUCAAAGUAGAAGCCAAUUCAUCAAUGAGAUCUUUCCUGCUGAUGAACAGGGACAGGCUAACAGAAACAUAGUAAGACCAAAUCCAGGCUUAUAGUCAGGAACAGGGUAAUGCCUACUCCAGGCCUAUAAUCUGUAGCAGGGUAAUAUGCUAGAAUAUAGUAAUCCCCCCUCUAGACUGAUCAUCUGGAACAAUCUAAUGCCCACUCUAGGCUGAUCAUCUGGAAUAUGGUAAUGCCCCAUCUAUGCUGAUCAUCUGAAACAAGAUAAUGUCCCUCUAGGCUGAUCAUUUGAAACAUAGUAAUGCCCCCUCUAUGCUGAUUAUCUGAAACAAGAUAAUGCCCACUCUAGGCUGAUCAUAUGGAACAUGGUAAUGCCCACUCUAGGCUGAUCAUCUGGAACAAGAUAAUGCCCACUCUGGGCUGAUCAUCUGAAACAAGAUAAUGCCCACUCUAGGCUGAUCAUAUGGAACAUGGUAAUGCCCACUCUAGGCUGAUCAUCUGGAACAAGAUAAUGCCCACUCUGGGCUGAUCAUCUGAAACAAGAUAAUGCCCACUCUAGGCUGAUCAUAUGGAACAAGAUAAUGCCCACUCUAGGCUGAUCAUCUGGAACAAGAUAAUGCCCACUCUAGGCUGAUCAUAUGGAACACGGCAAUGCCCACUCUAGGCUGAUCAUAUGGAACAAUCUAAUGCCCACUCUAGGCUGAUCAUAUGGAACACGGUAAUGUCCACUGUAGGCUGAUCAUAUGGAACAUGGUAAUGCCCCUUCUAUACUGAUUAUCUGAAACAAGAUAAUGCCCACUCUAGGCUGAUCAUAUGGAACAAUCUAAUGCCCACUCUAGGCUGAUCAUCUGAAACAAGAUAAUGCCCACUCUAGGCUAAUCAUAUGGAACACGGUAAUGCCCACUCUAGGCUGAUCUGAAACAUGGUAAUGCCCCCUCUAUACUGAUUAUCUGAAACAAGAUAAUUCCCACUCUAGGCUGAUCAUAUGGAACAUGGUAAUGCCCACUCUAGGCUGAUCAUCUGGAACAAUCUAAUGCCCACUCUAGGCUAAUCAUAUGGAACACGGUAAUGCCCACUCUAGGCUGAUCAUCUGAAGCUAGAUAAUGACCAUUCUAGGCUGAUCAUAUGGAACAUGGUAAUGCCCACUCUAGGCUGAUCAUCUGAAGCAAGAUAAUGACCAUUCUAGGCUGAUCAUAUGGAACACGGUAAUGCCCACUUUAGGAUGAUCAUCUGAAGCAAGAUAAUGACCAUUCUAGGCUGAUCAUAUGGAACACGGUAAUGCCCACCCUCGGCUAAUUAUCUGGAAUAAUCUAAUGCCCACUCUAGGCUGAUCAUCUGAAACAUAGUAAUGCCCCCUCUAUACUGAUUAUCUGAAACAAGUUAAUGCCUCCUCUUGGCUGAUCAUAUGGAACAUGGUAAUGCCCACCCUCGGCUAAUUAUCUGGAAUAAUCUAAUGCCCACUCUAGGCUGAUCAUCUGGAGCACGGUAAUGCCCACUCUAGGCUGAUCAUCUGGAACAGUGUAAUGUCCACUCUAUAGCUAUGAUGGGGUGACACAUAUGUCUGUAGCUAUGAAGGGGUGACACAUAUGUCUAUAGCUAUGAAGGGGUGGCACAUAUGUCUGUAGCUAUGAUGGGGUUGCACAUAUGUCUGUAGCUAUGAUGGGGUGGCACAUAUGUCUGUAGCUAUGAUGGGGUGACACAUAUGUCUAUAGCUAUGAAGGGGUGGCACAUACGUCUGUAGCUAUGAUGGGGUGGCACAUAUGUCUGUAGCUAUGAUGGGGUGGCACAUAUGUCAGUAGCUAUGAUGGGGUGGCACAUAUGUCAGUAGCUAUGAUGGGGUGGCACACAUGUCUAUAGCUAUGAUGGGGUGACACAUAUGUCUAUAGCUAUAUAUUGUAGAAUAUUGUGAAGUUUGUGGACCAAUGUUGUGGUGUAUUUAAUAUAUUACUAACCUUCUGGCAAGAAGUGGAUCGUAUUUCAGUUGCACCCGUUCACUGUGUGCCAGAUAAUGUUUAACCGAUGACAUGAGGACAAUUUACAGAUGAUCCCGAUAUCCACAAGUGACUCACUUGAGUCCAUCAUUCAUCCGAUGACUUGCACAUGAUCUUAUCAAUCAGGAUGACUGAGGGCUGACACCAUCUGUCCUUCUCAGUGAGUUUCUCCUAGAGCAGUGCCACACUGAGACUACCCUCCAGGGUGACAAAUGACGUGUGGUUCCUCUCUCUGUGAGGUUAGCACACAAUCUGUUUUGUUCUAUGAGGGAGAAAUAGAAAAUGUGUCCCCUCUCCUGGGGAGUGAUAGGUCCUGUGCCUAGUCCCUAUGAAUGUUUGGGGUUUCUGGGAUGGUUCAGAGUUAGUGUCUUUCUUGUACAGUUAUAUUUUGUUAUGUUUAAAGGUUUUUUAUGCUUUCUAUGUCUUUUUUUAUGGAUAUAAUGCUUUUAUUUUACUUUUUGCUGAAUACUUCACCACCUGAAUGUAAUUUAUCACCUGUUUCAUUACCCCAGCCACAGGAAAGAGACAAUCCACACCAGGGUGAAACAGGGUUAACACAGAAACUCAGUAUCUGGUCAUCCUUAGUGCCAUAGACUGUAACAUGAUAGUAAAUGGAUGGAUCCAAGAGGACCGGAGGCUGUGGUCAGGCGGGACAGGAGGCCGUGGUCAGGCGGGACAGGAGGCCGUGGUCAGGCGGGACCAGAGGCCGUGGUCAGGCGGGACCGGAGGCCGUGGUCAGGCGGGACCGGAGGCCGUGGUCAGGCGGGACAGGAGAGGCCGUGGUCAGGCGGGACAGGAGAGGCCGUGGUCAGGCGGGACAGGAGAGGCCGUGGUCAGGCGGGACAGGAGAGGCCGUGGUCAGGCGGGACAGGAGAGGCCGUGGUCAGGCGGGACCGGAGAGGCCGUGGUCAGGCGGGACCGGAGAGGCCGUGGUCAGGCGGGACAGGAGAGGCCGUGGUCAGGCGGGACAGGAGAGGCCGUGGUCAGGCGGGACAGGAGAGGCCGUGGUCAGGCGGGACAGGAGAGGCCGUGGUCAGGCGGGACAGGAGAGGCCGUGGUCAGGCGGGACAGGAGAGGCCGUGGUCAGGCGGGACAGGAGAGGCCGUGGUCAGGCGGGACCGGAGGGAAUGUGUCUGGGAGGAGUAAAUGCAGGAAAUUGUAUUGAGAAGGGAAGGAGAAUUUAUAGUGUCAGACUGAACAUUUGUGCUUAGAGUUGCAGGGGGAGGCAUGGUCUAUGGAUGGCUGGAUCAGAGUUUUCAUUCUAAGUUGCAGGGCAUCUACCCCAAAGGUCAGGAAUGGAAGACUGUGCAAAUAAACUUAUUUCAACCACG